rnacentral:rRNA from 1 species
UACGUAGGGUGCAAGCGUUAAUCGGAAUUACUGGGCGUAAAGCGUGCGCAGGCGGCUUUGCAAGACAGAUGUGAAAUCCCCGGGCUUAACCUGGGAAUGGCCAUGGAAACUGGCGAACUGGAGUGCGGCAGAGGGGGGUGGAAUUCCGCGUGUAGCAGUGAAAUGCGUAGAGAUGCGGAGGAACACCGAUGGCGAAGGCAGCCCCCUGGGCUAGCACUGACGCUCAGGCACGAAAGCGUGGGGAGCAAACAGG